GACGAACGCUGGCGGCGUGCCUAACACAUGCAAGUCAACUUGACUGAAGGAGCAAUCUGACAGUAGAGUGGCGCAAGGGUGCGUAACGCGUAAGUAACUUGCCCCAAGGUAAGGAAUAACGUCGAGAAAUCGGCGCUAAUACCUCAUAAUGCAGCGGAUCCGCAUGGAUAUGUUGUUAAAGGUUUACCGCCUUGGGAUAGGCUUGCGUCUGAUUAGCUAGUUGGUGUGGUAACGGCACACCAAGGCUACGAUCAGUAACUGGUCUGAGAGGAUGAUCAGUCACACUGGAACUGAGACACGGUCCAGACUCCUACGGGAGGCAGCAGUGAGGAAUAUUGGGCAAUGCUCGAAAGAGUGACCCAGCAACGCCGCGUGGAGGAUGAAGGUA
rnacentral:rRNA from 1 species